UAGGAUUCACAUUAAGCGUUUUGCCUUGUUACAUAUAAAAAGUAAUUGUAUUUUUUUUUAUGACUUCUGCUGGUAACUUGAAACUUACAGUAGUCACAUGUAGUUCAACCAGCUUCAGAUAGGGCUGUUCAGUGGUAAAUAUCCUGCAGCAUUCACAAAUCUAAAUUUCAGUCUGAAUUGUAGUAUUUAAUUCCAUAAUCUGUUGUGAAUCAUUGUUAUUUGUUUCAAACAGAUAUCUGCAUUGGCUGUUUCACACCGUUCCUUCUCAUGCUCUUCAGCAAUAUGACUCGAUGAUGGAACGUUAGUGGUUCUGGACAGGACAAACAGGAAUGCCACUUGGAUGGGGAGGGAGGUCAUUUUCUACCCCAGGAAGAAUGCUAACAGAGGCAAAGUGCAUGGGAUAAUCACUGGAGCCAUGACUACAGGAAGUUUUCAUGCUUUCCAAGUCAGAGCAACUAAAUUCGGAGAAAUGAUUUGAGUAGGAGUUGGCUUCAGAUGGAAUGCUGCCACUGAGAGAUGUUCUCAGGUACUCCCAGAAGUUGUUACCAGACUUUUCUCUCCCUUGUGACUCUUCUCAGACUGAACUCCAUCUUCUUUAUCUUUUGGUGCCCCUGCAAGACCUAGCACAGUACCUGAAGAAUAAUAAUCACAAUGGACUCUCAUUUCUCAAGGAUUCUUUACAGUUUACAAAGAUUGGCAAAGCAGUUUAUUUACAAAAGUCCUAUGAGGUAGGUAUGGCUGUGGUCAAGAAGACCUGGGUUCAAAUCCUCCUUGUGACAAUUAUGUGACCAUCAAGUAAGUUACUUUAUUUUUCUGACCCUGAGUUCCCUUAUCAAUAUAUGGGGAUAAACAGUAGCAAGGUGGCACAGUGGAGUGAGGAAGACCUGAGUUCAUGGAAGAACCUCACUGAACUGAUGCAGAAUGAAAUAAGUAGAACCAGGAGAACACUGUAUACAGAAAGUGAAACAUUGUGUAACAAUCCAAAGUAAUGGACUUUGCUACUAGUAGCAAUGCAAAAAGCCAGGACACUCCUGAAGGAUUUGAGAAAGAAUGCUAACUACAUUAAGAACUGUGGGAGAAGAAAUGCUGAAGAAAAAUAUAUGACUUAUCACUUGUAUAUAUGGGUAUGUGAUUUGGGGUUUUGGCUUUAAAAGAUCACUCUAUUGUUAGAACCCAAGGGGGGAAGAGGAACCCCAAAGACUCAGACCAGGGGCCGAAGGUCCCUUAGGUAGGAGCGAGAAAUUGAAGUCCAGAGAGAUAAGAAUCUUUUGGGAUCAGAAGGACUGCAGAGCUGGUAGCUACUGCCAGCAGAGUUUAUUGAAUAGGGGAAGGAUUAAUAAAGGAAAAGACCACAGGAAUGAAGGAGCA
rnacentral:lncRNA from 1 species